UACGUAGGGUGCGAGCGUUGUCCGGAAUUAUUGGGCGUAAAGAGCUCGUAGGCGGUUUGUUGCGUCUAUCGUGAAAACCUGCGGCUUAACUGUGGGCUUGCGGUGGAUACGGGCAGACUUGAGUUCGGUAGGGGAGACUGGAAUUCCUGGUGUAGCGGUGAAAUGCGCAGAUAUCAGGAGGAACACCAGUAGCGAAGGCGGCUCGCUGGGCCAUUCCUGACGCUGAGACGCGAAAGCGUGGGGAGCAAACAGG
rnacentral:rRNA from 1 species